ensembl:snRNA U2 U2 spliceosomal RNA
AGCAGUUCUCGGCCUUUUGGCUAAGAUCAAGUGCAGUAUCUGUUCUUAUCAGCGAAUGAUUUGUAGUGCACAGUGCACAUUGUGAGGGCAUGGUGCACCAAUGAGCAUUAUUCUGACUCCUGCAGAUGUAAAUCAAUUUUUGAAGAUAUAAGGCUGCAAUAGAAUUCCAGCAGUUACUUUCUGCACAAAACAUUU